CAAGGGGCGUUUCAACGAGGGCGCUGGCGGCAACAGCUUAGUGCUCAUCAACUAUUUAGAUAUGCGCUUAACACCCGCGGGGAAGCUCGCGUCUACCGGCUGGCAGGCACGGCGAGACGAGACGAGGCGCUUGUCGACGACGAGAGCAAAUCGUUCUUGGGCGGCCAAAAUGGAGACUGAUUUAAAAAAAAAAAAAAGAAGAGGGGGCCUUUCCAACCACUGAGGAGGAAGCAAUCCCACCCCCCAAGAGACUGACACAACUUUCAAAAGAAGGGGAGGUAUCAUCAGGAGAUCGUGCAGUGAGACAUUCUUCCAAAGGUAAAGUUGCCCAGAAAAGGCGACCCUGGACACAGAAAGAGGUGAAGGCUGUCGAGUAGCACAUGAAGCGAUUCAUCCCUUCUGGUAUUGUACCAGCAAAGAGGGACUGUUUAAAAUGUUUGAGGGCCGAACCGGAAGCUCUCCAAAACCGGGAAUGGCAAGCAUUGAAGUUCUAUGUGAACAACCGCAUUAAGGCCAACAAAAGGAGAUUGCAGGUAAAAUAGUAGAUUAAGAGAUAAUCAGCAAGACUGGUUAAGUAGAACUGUUUUUUUAUGUUCUUUAUGUUCAGUGUUGUUAAAAAUCCAUCCAUCCAUCCAUCCAUCUUCUUCCGCUUAUCCGAGGUCAGGUCGUGGGGGCAGCAGC